rnacentral:rRNA from 1 species
AUUGAACGCUAGCGGGAUGCCUUACACAUGCAAGUCGAACGGCAGCGCGGACUUCGGUCUGGCGGCGAGUGGCGAACGGGUGAGUAAUGUAUCGGAACGUGCCCAGUAGCGGGGGAUAACUACUCGAAAGAGUAGCUAAUACCGCAUACGCCCUACGGGGGAAAGGGGGGGAUCGCAAGACCUCUCACUAUUGGAGCGGCCGAUAUCGGAUUAGCUAGUUGGUGAGGUAAAGGCUCACCAAGGCGACGAUCCGUAGCUGGUUUGAGAGGACGACCAGCCACACUGGGACUGAGACACGGCCCAGACUCCUACGGGAGGCAGCAGUGGGGAAUUUUGGACAAUGGGGGAAACCCUGAUCCAGCCAUUCCGCGUGUGCGAUGAAGGCCUUCGGGUUGUAAAGCACUUUUGGCAGGAAAGAAAUCGCAUCAAUUAAUACUUGGUGUGGAUGACGGUACCUGCAGAAUAAGCACCGGCUAACUACGUG